rnacentral:rRNA from 1 species
GAUGAACGCUGGCGGCGUGCCUAAUACAUGCAAGUCGAGCGAACAGACUAGGAGCUUGCUCCUCUGACGUUAGCGGCGGACGGGUGAGUAACACGUGUAUAACCUACCUAUAAGACUGGGAUAACUUCGGGAAACCGUAGCUAAUACCGGAUAAUAUAUUGAACCGCAUGGUUCAAUAGUAAAAGACGGUUUUGCUGUCACUUAUAGAUGGAUCCGCGCCGCAUUAGCUAGUUGGUAAGGUAACGGCUUACCAAGGCAACGAUGCGUAGCCGACCUGAGAGGGUGAUCGGCCACACUGGAACUGAGACACGGUCCAGACUCCUACGGGAGGCAGCAGUAGGGAAUCUUCCGCAAUGGGCGAAAGCCUGACGGAGCAACGCCGCGUGAGUGAUGAAGGUCUUCGGAUCGUAAAACUCUGUUAUUAGGGAAGAACAAAUGUGUAAGUAACUAUGCACGUCUUGACGGUACCUAAUCAGAAAGCCACGGCUAACUACGUG